AUUGAACGCUGGCGGCAGGCCUAACACAUGCAAGUCGAACGAGUGGCGGACGGGUGAGUAAUGUCUGGGAAACUGCCCGAUGGCGGGGGAUAACUACUGGAAACGGUAGCUAAUACCGCAUACCAUCGGAUGUGCCCAGAUGGGAUUAGCUAGUAGGUGGGGUAAAGGCUCACCUAGGCGACGAUCCCUAGCUGUUCUGAGAGGAUGACCAGCCACACGGAGACUGAGGCACGGUACAGACUCCUACGUGGGGCAGCAGUGGGGAAUAUUGAACAAUGGGCGCAAGCCUGAUGCAGCCAUGCCGCGUGUAUGAAGAAGGCCGUCGGGUUGUAAAGUACUUUCAGCGGGGAGGCGUUACCCGCAGAAGAAGCACCGGCUAACUCCGUGCCAGCAGCCGCGGUAAUUC
rnacentral:rRNA from 1 species